rnacentral:rRNA from 1 species
UACGGGGGGGGCAAGCGUUGUUCGGAAUUACUGGGCGUAAAGGGCGCGUAGGCGGCCUGCUAAGUCGGAUGUGAAAUCCCUCGGCUUAACCGGGGAACUGCGUCUGAUACUGGAUGGCUUGAGUUUGGGAGAGGGACGCGGAAUUCCAGGUGUAGCGGUGAAAUGCGUAGAUAUCUGGAGGAACACCGGUGGCGAAGGCGGCGUCCUGGACCAACACUGACACUGAUGAGCGAAAGCCAGGGGAGCAAACGGGG